AUGGACCACGUAUGGUUGAGUGUCGUA
rnacentral:rRNA from 1 species